AGGUUCACGCCGAAAUUGAAAAGAUGAUGUUUUCUAUUCUUUCACUGCUUUUUAUGUCAAUAUCACAAGUCAGAACGGGGUCAAUGUUAACAGGUACUAACGAUCCGAAUUCUACGGCUUUGAUCAAUGAAAGACGUGACAUUAAGGAAAUCGACGUUCUUCGACAGAUCAUCAACCAGGAAACUCUCAUCCGUUUAGCCGUUGUCAAGGAUGUUAAGGCAGUAGUGGACGACAUUAGUUCUGUGAAGCGAAGCAUGGCGUUUAGAGAAACGAGGGUCUCCUCUCUUCAGCAGGCGCUAAAUACAUUGAAAAGACAAGUUGAUUCCUUAAUUCGGGAAAAUACUUUAGCGCAGAGAGUAGAAACAUUAAAAAGACAAGUUGAUAAUCUUAUUAGAGAGAACAAGAGUUUAGUACAGAAGAUAGAAAAUUUGGAAAGACAGGUUGAUACUCUAAGUCAGGAUAAUGCUUUACAGCGGACGGUAGAUACAUUGAAAACACAGGUUAAUUCUUUGAGGCUGGAACAGAGAAAAGAAAACAGGAAGAUUGCGAUGAAUUGUGAGACCAAGAUUCAAGAAACUGAGCAAAUGUUUAAUAGAAAGAUUGCUGAAAUUUACGAACUUCUAAAUAACAGAACAGUGCAAACCGUUAAGAAAGGUUCAAAAAUGAAAACGGAUUGCAAGGACCACUAUCUACAAGGACAAACACGGUCUGGUUUAUAUAAAAUUAGUCCCUUUCAUAUCGAGGUUAGCGUGUACUGUGAUAUGGAGACUGAAGGUGGAGGGUGGACAGCAAUCCAGAAACGGAUGAGUGGAUCCGUGAGUUUUGACAGAACGUGGGCCGAAUACAAGAAUGGGUUUGGGAACCCAAAUGACUCCUACUGGAUUGGAAAUGACGUCAUUCAUCAACUAACCAGGGGGAAAAACUCAUCCCUUUACGUCUCUAUUACAUUACAAAAUGGCACAACUUUGUACGAACUUUAUCAUCAGUUUUCUGUGUCUGAUGAAUCAGACAACUACAGACUGUCUCUUGGGGAGCCUGCUACCGGAACCUUGGGUGACAGUAUGAUAGACACUGGUCACCCUAGUUACCACGAUCUGUCUGGGAUGUACUUUACGACCCGAGACAGAGCCAAUGACAGAUGGAGUGGUAACUGUGCUGCUCUGUAUGGGGGAGGCUGGUGGUUUAGUUUCUGUCACCACGCCUUCCUUAACGGUCCCUGGUUCCCGGCAAACUGGGGCAAUCCAUGGUAUCCAACAGUAGAGAAUGGGUCAACUAUUCGGGAAACAAUGAUGUUAAUUAGACGUCACUAGGUGCAGAUGAAUAAUGAAAGGAAUUGGAUGGAUAAUACAUUAGAAUACAAUUAUAAACCAGUUCUUACAGAGAUCAAAGAAGUGCCGCGGACAUUAUUCUCCAAUAAAGCAUGAACUUCGGCAAAAAAUAUCAGAUCAGAAACACAUAUCAAACAUGUACAAUUGAUAUAAAUAUUUGACUUUAGAUUCUAAUACUGAUUUAGACCAUUCUAUGUGUAGUUUUCCGCAGUCUAAACAGUGUGUAUUGCUUUAAAAAUGUCGAUUUUUGUAUAGCUUAAAGGGGCUGUUCCAUGGACCUCCUCACAACAUUUAUACUCCAUGAUUUUAGUAAUAAAGCAAUAAAAUAUAAACUGAUUUUGUUAUUUUAAAUUCAUAAACAAUUGGCCACAUCGCGCACCUGAGCACUGUGGCUAGGGAAAAAGCAGAAAUUAGUUCAGUAUUAAAGAGUAUAAAUGCAUAAAUGGCCCCGACCUACGUGUACCUCUAAAAAUGGGUAUGAUUUGAACGAACUUGAAUCAACACUAAGAAUGCAUACACAUUUCUUUGACGAACGGUGCCUUUUUCCUCUAUAACUUUCAUUGAACUUUCAUUAAGGUUCCACCCUACCCCCACCGGGUCAUGAUUUUAUCAAAUCUGAAUCUAUACUACCUGAUGAUGCUUCUCAUAAAUAUUACCAAUCAUGACUCUGCUGGUCUUGAGAAGAUUUUUUUGAAAAAUCUUAUGCAUAAAUUUGCUCACCCAAUGUGUUCCCACCCUACCCCCGGGGGUUAUGAUUUGAACAAACUUGAAUCUAUACUACCUGAGGAUGCUUCAAUAUAAAUAUGACCAAUCAUGACUUUACUAUUCUUGAGAAGAAAUUUUUUCAUAAUAUACUUCUAUGUAAAACUUUAAAACUUUCCUCGUCCAUUGUGCAACCCCCACCCCCACCCCCCCCCCCCACCCCCGGGUGUCAUGAUUUGAACAAACUUGAAUUAAUACUACUUGAGGAUGCUUCAAUAUAAAUAUGACCAAUCAUGGCUUUGCUGUUCAUGAGAAGGAGAUUUCUCCUAUGUAUUCCUAUGAAACACUUUGAUUGUCCGUUUUGGCCCCACCCUACCCCCGGGCGUCAUGAUUUGAACAAAUUGGAAUCUUCACUUCCUGAGGAUGCUUCCAUGGCUUCACUGAUCUUGAGAGAAAGAUUUUUAAAUGUUAAAGAUUUCUGCUAUUUAUUCCUAUAAAGUAAAAUUGAUCGUUGUGGCCCCACCCUCUCUCCGGGGCCCAUGAUUUGAACAAAUUGGAAUCUACAUUACUAGAGGAUGCGUCCAUAUAAAUAUGAUUAAUCAUGGCUUUACUGCUCUUGAGGAGUUUUAAAGCUUCGCGGGUAUGUUAAGGAAGCAUUCAAAUCAUUUGUCACUAUCCGGUCGGGAAAAUAAUUAUUCCACAUAUUCGCACGAAACCUUAUCCAAUGUUUUGCAUUAUAUACAAGUAACCCGAGAUAUUUCUUCAAACCAUGUUUAUCUCAGGAUUCUAGCAGCACUUUUCAAGUAAUA